AGAGUUUGAUCAUGGCUCAGGACGAACGCUGGCGGCGUGCCUAACACAUGCAAGUCGACGAGAAAGAGGUAGCAAUAUCUCGAGUAAAGUGGCGAAGGGGUGAGUAAUAUGUAAGUAACCUGCCCAUGGAUUCGGAAUAACUCGUCGAAAGACGGGCUAAUACCGAAUAACGCAGCGGCACCACAUGGUGAUGUUGUUAAAGCUCUUGUAGCGUCUAUGGAUGGGCUUGCAUUCGAUUAGCUAGUUGGUAAGAUAAAAGCUUACCAAGGCAACGAUCGAUAGCUGGUCUGAGAGGAUGAUCAGCCACACUGGAACUGAGACACGGUCCAGACUCCUACGGGAGGCAGCAGUGAGGAAUAUUGGGCAAUGGACGAAAGUCUGACCCAGCAACGCCGCGUGGAGGAUGAAUGUCGUAAGAUUGUAAACUCCUUUUGAAGGGGACGAAAAAUUCCGAUCGCAUCGGAACUUGACUGUACCCUUAGAAGAAGCCCCGGCUAACUACGUGCCAGCAGCCGCGGUAAUACGUAGGGGGCGAGCGUUGUCCGGAUUUACUGGGUGUAAAGGGCGCGUAGGCGGGUUUGUAAGUCAGAGGUGAAAUCCUGCAGCUUAACUGUAGAACUGCCUUUGAUACUGCAAAUCUUGAAUUCGGAAGAGAGUAGCGGAAUUCCAGGUGUAGUAGUGAAAUACGUAGAUAUCUGGAAGAACACCAGUGGCGAAGGCGGCUACUUGGUCCGUAAUUGACGCUGAGGCGCGAAAGCGUGGGGAGCAAACAGGAUUAGAUACCCUAGUAGUCC
rnacentral:rRNA from 1 species